rnacentral:rRNA from 1 species
CUGCUUGUCCCUUGACGGUAUCUAACCAGAAAGCCACGGCUAACUACGUGCCAGCAGCCGCGGUAAUACGUAGGUGGCAAGCGUUGUCCGGAAUUAUUGGGCGUAAAGCGCGCGCAGGCGGUCUUUUAAGUUGGGUGUGAAAGCCCUCGGCUCAACCGAGGAGGGUCACUCAAAACUGGGAGACUGGAGUGCAGAAGAGGAGAGUGGAAUUCCAUGUGUAGCGGUGAAAUGCGUAGAUAUAUGGAGGAACACCAGUGGCGAAGGCGGCUCUCUGGUCUGUAACUGACGCUGAGGCGCGAAAGCGUGGGGAGCAAACAGGAUUAGAUACCCUGGUAGUCCACGCCGUAAACGAUGAGUGCUAAGUGUUAGGGGGUUUCCGCCCCUUAGUGCUGCAGCAAACGCAUUAAGCACUCCGCCUGGGGAGUACGACCGCAAGGUUG